rnacentral:rRNA from 1 species
GACGAACGCUGGCGGCGUGCUUAACACAUGCAAGUCGAACGGAAAGGCCCUGCUUUUGUGGGGUGCUCGAGUGGCGAACGGGUGAGUAACACGUGAGUAACCUGCCCUUGACUUUGGGAUAACUUCAGGAAACUGGGGCUAAUACCGGAUAGGAGCUCCUGCUGCAUGGUGGGGGUUGGAAAGUUUCGGCGGUUGGGGAUGGACUCGCGGCUUAUCAGCUUGUGGGUGGGGUAGUGGCUUACCAAGGCUUUGACGGGUAGCCGGCCUGAGAGGGUGACCGGCCACCAUGGGGCUGGGUUGCGGGCCGGAACCCCGCGGGGGGCGGGGAGGGGGGAAUAUGCCACAGGGGGGGGAGCCUGUAGCCAGCACCGCCGGGUGGGGGGGGGCGCCUGUCGGUUGUAACCCCCUUUCCGCCUGGAAAGAGGGGGGGGGCCGGGUAAGGGAAAAAGAGCCCCCGCCUAACCACGCC